CCUACGGGGGGCUGCAGUAAGGAAUAUUGGUCAAUGGGCGAAAGUCUGAACCAGCCAUCCCGCGUGCAGGAUGAAAGCCCUAUGGGUUGUAAACUGCUUUUAGCAGAGAAGAAAAGCUUUCAUUAAUGAGAGUCUGACGGUAUCUGCAGAAUAAGCACCGGCUAACUCCGUGCCAGCAGCCGCGGUAAUACGGAGGGUGCGAGCGUUACUCGGUAUAACUGGGGCUAAAGGGGAGGAUGACGGAGGUGGUGAAAUCUUGUCGCUUAACGAUACAAUUGCCAAUGAUACUGGUACUCUUGAAUUGGGUUGAGGUUAGCGGAAUGUGACAUGUAGCGGUGAAAUGCAUAGAUAUGUCAUGGAACACCAAUUGCGAAGGCAGCUAACUGGGCCUUGAUUGACGCUGAGGCACGAAAGCGUGGGUAGCGAACAGGAUUAGAUACCCCGGUAGUC
rnacentral:rRNA from 1 species